UUUGAAUAUAAUUUAAAGUAGGGCCUGCCCACUGAUUAAAUUGAAGGGCCGCAGUAUUUUGACUGUGCAAAGGUAGCAUAAUCAUUAGUUUUUUAAUUGAAAGCUUGUAUGAAUGGUUUGAUGAAAAAAUAGCUUUUUUUAUCUAAUUUUAAAAGAAUUUUAUUUUUAAGUUAAAAAGCUUAAAUAUUUUUAAUAGACGAGAAGACCCUAUAGAGUUUAAUUUUUAGUAUUAAUUAAGUUUUUAGAAUUUUAUAAUUUUAUUAAUAUAUAAAAUUUGAUUGGGGUGAUUAAAAAAUUAAAUAAACUUUUUUUUAAAUUUUACAUUAAUAUAUGAUUAAAUGAUCCAUUUGAGUGAUUAAAAGAAUAAAUUACCUUAGGGAUAACAGCGUUAUUUUUUUUUAGAGUUCAAAUCGAAAAAAGAGAUUGCGACCUCGAUGUUGGAUUAAAGUAAAUUUUAGGUGUAGAACCUUAAAAAUUUGGUCUGUUCGACCAUUAAAACUUUACA
rnacentral:rRNA from 1 species